GUCGGGGUCGACUCUAGCACAGGAAUCGACUCUCGGUGUCGACUCUGUUGCUGUGUCCGGAAUCGCUCACUUGUUUACUGAUUGUCGAAUCCAUAGCCUACAUAAUGCAUGGCAGUGAAGUGCAUAAUGUCUAUGGUUAAGUGCACUAAACAAGGAGUGAACGAAAUGAAGCGAGGAAUUCAGACACUGACGAAUCGCGUCAGAAAGCUGUCGCAGAAACUUUGUCACAUACAUUUAUGUAGCUUACUUUAGAAAUAGAUAACAGUCAUAGUGAGUUUGUAAUUAUACAUAUCUCCGUGUCAGCUUUAGUAGGCUUAUUGAUGGUAGCUUAUAUUAUUACAAUAAAUAUAGAUUUGAUUUUCCAUAGUUAACCGUGUUAACCAUACAUAAAAAUAAUUUUAAAAAAAACUCACAUCAAUAAUAAACACAUUAAUAAGUGUACAUUAUUGUAAUAAUUUUUUAUGUAUAGUAUUAAUUUUAGCAUCUUUAACUCUAAUGUCCAAGCACUUUAAAGACAAUGAAUCAUUUGCGUUUAGCGCCAUCCCCCGACCAUUAUAAUGAGAUUAAUUCAUUAAAGAAUCCCUGCUUUCUCGUUUAUUUAAUUCUGACAUAAUAUUCGACCACAGAUGUUUUUCGUGACUCUUCUCUCGGUAAAAUUAGGUAUCGGCAAUUAGCAAUGUUGAUAUGCUACUCAUCAAGUCAUCUCUAAAUUGGACUAAUUUAAACAGUCUCGCUAAACGUGUGUUGUUUUAAUGAGGGGAUUUUAAGGCUUCGCGUCGGGGAAAAAUAAAUUAAGUGUGUAUGGACUGCCAUCUCGGCUUAUUUAUGACCGUUUUGAUGUAUAGUAAAUGGAGUUGAUUCCAUCAACUCCAACAGUGGGAGUCGGGAGUCGGAGUUGACUCCAAAAAACCUGGAAUCGAACAUCCCUAAUUAACCAGCAUUACAAUAUGCCAUAAUUCCAGCCAAUCAGAGAUGGCUUGACAACCAAUCACAAGACUCCCUGCAUUACCGACAGCAGGAGAACUUGCUGAAAAGGGUAAUAAAAUGGCUGAUCAGGAGAAUACAUUGCAGCGCCAAGUAUGUUUUUGUUGUUUUUUUGUUGGAAGAGUGUUUAUUGGCUAUGAACAAGUCAGCUUAUUACUUAGGUCUUUUCCAGGAUAUUUUAGGCGUGGCAAAAAGAGAACAUUAAAUGUCCCUAAACAGAAUAAAUACCUGCUACCCAAAAAUACUGCCAUAACUCUUUUUCCAAAUGAGGAACUUGAACUCCUCCAAGCAGGGAUGGGAAGACAGUACCAGAAGACAGUGACCACACAGAGAUCUCAAGAAUCCUGACUGAAACUUUUCCAAAGAUGAAGGGCCUUUCUGGAGGGUGGCUCUUGUACAAAGCAACAGGUGUGCAGGACUUUAGAUGUGCUAACAUGGUAAUCCUCCAGGCCAACAUGUAAUUCUGUUUCUUAAUUUCCCCAAAAGGUGGUAGUGGUAGACACAAGCUUGUCAUAACUCCUCUAGAAGCAGAGGGAUAUUCUGCAAAAACGUUAAGAUCUGUGUCAUAAGGUGGGAAAGCCAUGUUCUAUAUUGUGCCACUCCAAGAGUCAUUAGACACCUCCCCUCUGGCUAAGCCUUGUCCCAGACUAAAAUGUGUGUUUGAGCUGUUUUAACUGAAAGCAACUUGCACUGAUAUAUCUUAAUAUGUCCGUGCCAUUAUUUUGUCUCACGAUUUACACAGUAAUGUUUUUUUUUCUAGGGCACGUUUAUAAAAACUACUUAAAUGUCUUGCUUGAACUAAGGCUUAAUCCUGGCUUAAUCGAAAUCUGUGAAACCAGGCCCAAAAGUUUUUCAAAGUCUGUCAAGUCAUGUAAUACACUGCCUUUUUUUGGGAAACCACUCAGGUGGCUUGUCCAAUUUGCUACAGAGAAUUCCUGAAAGAUGAUAUUACAAUCCAUGCAAGUCUCUGUGGAGAGAGUUUUUGUACAGUGGCUUCUGCAGAAACUUGCUCUGAUGAAGAUUUUUCAGUGCACACACCUGCAUGUACACCAAAAAGGCCAUAUGGAUUCAUUAUGUUGGACUCACCGCAGGUAACUCAUAAUCUGCAGUUGUUACUCCUGUCUCCUAAGAAUUAUGAGUGAUGCUGUUAAAUAUGGAGGAGGAUUCUUCAGAGUUUAAAGCAUGGCAGUCAGACACAUAACAUUGUUCACAGCAAUUUAUUUUUGUUUAAUGGCCGCACUUUAGGAAAUGCUGCACUUUAGCAUGUAUCUUUGGUUAAUAAUACAAUAACAGGUAUUUACAUGUGCCUUAAAGUACCCAUUCAGAAUGGUCUGUAAAUUUUAUUUAUUUUUUUUUACAGCUGUUUUUAAAUGACAGCUACUGAGAAGUGUUCGGUUUCAAUUUGACCAUGUGUUUGAACUUUGAACAAAGUAAACAAAUAAAAUGUUCUAAAAUGUU